GAUGAACGCUGGCGGCGUGCUUAACACAUGCAAGUCGAGCGGAGAUAAGAUAAAGCUUGCUUUUAACUAUCUUAGCGGCGGACGGGUGAGUAACGUGUGGGCAACCUGCCUCAUACAGAGGGAUAAUCAUGUGAAAACGUGACUAAUACCUCAUGUCAUUGCCGGAAGGCAUCUUCAGGCAAGAAAGGAGUAAUCCGGUAUGAGAUGGGCCCGCAUCUGAUUAGCUAGUUGGUGAGAUAAUAGCCCACCAAGGCAACGAUCAGUAGCCGACCUGAGAGGGUGAUCGGCCACAUUGGGACUGAGACACGGCCCAAACUCCUACGGGAGGCAGCAGUGGGGAAUAUUGCACAAUGGGGGAAACCCUGAUGCAGCAACGCCGCGUGAAGGAAGACGGUUUCGGAUGUAAACUUCUAUCAAUAGGGACGAAAAAUAGACGGUACCUAAAU
rnacentral:rRNA from 1 species